rnacentral:rRNA from 1 species
GACGAACGCUGGCGGCGUGCUUAACACAUGCAAGUCGAACGGAAAGGCCCCUUUGGGGGUACUCGAGUGGCGAACGGGUGCGUAACACGUGAGUAACCUGCCCUUGACUACGGGAUAACUUCAGGAAACUGGGGCUAAUACCGGAUAGGAAUCCUUGCUGCAUGGUGGGGGUUGGAAAGCUUCGGCGGGUUUGGAUGGACUCGCGGCUUAUCAGCUUGUUGGUGGGGUAGUGGCUUACCAAGGCUUUGACGGGUAGCCGGCCUGAGAGGGCGACCGGCCACAUUGGGACUGAGAUACGGCCCAGACUCCUACGGGAGGCAGCAGUGGGGAAUAUUGCACAAUGGGCGGAAGCCUGGUGCAGCAACGCCGCGUGCGGGAUGACGGCCUUCGGGUUGUAAACCGCUUUCAGCAGGGGCGAAGCUUGUGGUGACGGUACCUGCAGAAGAAGCACCGGCUAACUACGUG